GGAGAUGAGUCAGAGACAGUCCCUGUCCUCAAGGAGCUUACAGUCUGGUGGGGAGACAGACUGGUGGACAG
rnacentral:miRNA from 1 species